rnacentral:rRNA from 1 species
UACGUAGGUGGCAAGCGUUUGUCCGGAUUACUGGGCGUAAAGGGCGUGCAGGCGGUUUGUUAAGUGCAGGGUGAAAGCUCCCGGCUCAACUGGGAGAGGUCCUUGCAUACUGGCAAACUCGAGGGAGGCAGAGGAAAGUGGAAUUCCCGGUGUAGUGGUGAUAUGCGUAGAUAGUCGGGAGGAACACCUGUGGCGAAGGGCGGCUUUCUGGGCCUUACCUGAC